AUGCACGCUGGCGGCGUGCUUCACCCCUGCAAGUCGCACGGAAAGGCUCCUGCUUGCAGGGGUACUCGAGUGGCGAACGGGUGAGUAACACGUGGGUGAUCUGCCCUGCACUUCGGGAUAAGCCUGGGAAACUGGGUCUAAUACCGGAUAGGACGAUGGUUUGGAUGCCAUUGUGGAAAGUUUUUCGGUGUGGGAUGAGCUCGCGGCCUAUCAGCUUGUUGGUGGGGUAAUGGCCUACCAAGGCGUCGACGGGUAGCCGGCCUGAGAGGGUGUACGGCCACAUUGGGACUGAGAUACGGCCCAGACUCCUACGGGAGGCAGCAGUGGGGAAUAUUGCACAAUGGGCGCAAGCCUGAUGCAGCGACGCCGCGUGGGGGAGGACGGCCUUCGGGUUGUAAACUCCUUUCGCUAGGGACGAAGCGUUUUGUGACGGUACCUGGAGAAGAAGCACCGGCUAACUACGUG
rnacentral:rRNA from 1 species